GAUGAACGCUGGCGGCGUGCCUAGUACAUGCAAGUCGAGCGAACGGACGGGAAGCUUGCUUCUCUGAUGUUAGCGGCGGACGGGUGAGUAACACGUGGAUAACCUACCUAUAAGACUGGGAUAACUUCGGGAAACCGUAGCUAAUACCGGAUAAUAUUUUGAACCGCAUGGUUCAAAAGUGAAAGACGGUCUUGCUGUCACUUAUAGAUGGAUCCGCGCUGCAUUAGCUAGUUGGUAAGGUAACGGCUUACCAAGGCAACGAUGCAUAGCCGACCUGAGAGGGUGAUCGGCCACACUGGAACUGAGACACGGUCCAGACUCCUACGGGAGGCAGCAGUAGGGAAUCUUCCGCAAUGGGCGAAAGCCUGACGGGGCAACGCCGCGUGAGUGAUGAAGGUCUUCGGAUCGUAAAACUCUGUUAUUAGGGAAGAACAUAUGUGUAAGUAACUGUGCACAUCUUGACGGUACCUAAUCAGAAAGCCACGGCUAACUACGUG
rnacentral:rRNA from 1 species